rnacentral:lncRNA from 1 species
AGUGGAUACCCAUAGAAUCUGGACAUUUAUGCGGCUAGAAGAAAAUCUCAUCUCUUCCAAAUUUAGAUUUGAAGAAAAAAAUUAUAAAACAGAUAUGUGAAUUGAUCACAAUCUGAAUUUCAGCAUAUGUCAAUUUUAGCACAUGAACUAGAUCUUUGUAGUUUUAUAUUGUUAUGCAUACAUGAUUUAGAUUAAAAAUAUUUUAAUCUUAUAUUUUACUA